rnacentral:rRNA from 1 species
UACGGGGGGGGCAAGCGUUGUUCGGAAUUACUGGGCGUAAAGGGCUCGUAGGCGGCCAACUAAGUCAGACGUGAAAUCCCCAGGCUCAACCUGGGAACUGCGUCUGAUACUGGUUGGCUUGAAUCCGGGAGAGGGAUGCAGAAUUCCAGGUGUAGCGGUGGAAUGCGCAGAUAUCAGGAGGAACACCGGUGGCGAAGGCGGGUCUCUGGGCAGUAACUGACGCUGAGGAGCGAAAGCGUGGGGAGCGAACAGG